rnacentral:lncRNA from 1 species
AAUAGUUAGGGUUUGUGUGUGUUUUGUCGCAUAUUGAGGUUUCAUCGCUGGAGAAGACGUUGGUGGCUUCCGCACGCUACCGUUUCUCUGGCAAAGAUGAAUCAGAGAGGAGUUUGUUUACAGAGCAUUUAUUUUGAGUUUUGUUUUUUUUAAAGGAAAAUCUUGGUUUGAAGGGCAGGUUGUGUCGUUUUGUUUCAUUUGAUUUAAUGAAGGCUGGUUGGCUUGACACGGUGGUGACAAGUGUCU